rnacentral:misc_RNA from 1 species
GAUGAAGAACGUAGCGAAAUGCGAUAAGUAAUGUGAAUUGCAGAAUUCAGUGAAUCAUCGAAUCUUUGAACGCACAUUGCGCCCGCCAGUAUUCUGGCGGGCAUGCCUGUUCGAGCGUCAUUUCAACCAUCAAGCCCUGCUUGCGUUGGGGUCCUGCGGCUACCCGCAGGCCCUGAAAACCAGUGGCGGGCUCGCUAGUCACACCGAGCGCAGUAAUACAUCUCGCUUUGGGCGUGCGGCGGGUUCUUGCCGUUAAACACCCCCUUUUUACCAAGGUUGACCUCGGAUCAGGUAGGAAUACCCGCUGAACUUAAGCAUAUCAAUAAGCGGAGGA